rnacentral:rRNA from 1 species
GAACGCUGGCGGCGUGCUUAACACAUGCAAGUCGAGCGAUGAAGUUUCCUUCGGGAAACGGAUUAGCGGCGGACGGGUGAGUAACACGUGGGUAACCUGCCUCAUAGAGUGGAAUAGCCUUCCGAAAGGAAGAUUAAUACCGCAUAAUGUUGAAAGAUGGCAUCAUCAUUCAACCAAAGGAGCAAUCCGCUAUGAGAUGGACCCGCGGCGCAUUAGCUAGUUGGUGGGGUAACGGCCUACCAAGGCGACGAUGCGUAGCCGACCUGAGAGGGUGAUCGGCCACAUUGGGGCUGAGACACGGCCCAGACUCCUACGGGAGGCAGCAGUGGGGAAUAUUGCACAAUGGGGGAAACCCUGAUGCAGCAACGCCGCGUGAGUGAUGAAGGUUUUCGGAUCGUAAAGCUCUGUCUUUGGGGAAGAUAAUGACGGUACCCAAGGAGGAAGCCACGGCUAACUACGUGCCAGCAGCCGCGGUAAUACGUAGGUGGCGAGCGUUAUCCGGAUUUACUGGGCGUAAAGGGAGCGUAGGCGGAUGAUUAAGUGGGAUGUGAAAUACCCGGGCUCAACUUGGGUGCUGCAUUCCAAACUGGUUAUCUAGAGUGCAGGAGAGGAGAGUGGAAUUCCUAGUGUAGCGGUGAAAUGCGUAGAGAUUAGGAAGAACACCAGUGGUGAAGGCGACUCUCUGGACUGUAACUGACGCUGAGGCUCGAAAGCGUGGGGAGCAAACAGGAUUAGAUACCCUGGUAGUCCAUGCCGUAAACGAUGAAUACUAGGUGUGGGGGUUUCAACACCUCCGUGCCGCCGCUAACGCAUUAAGUAUUCCGCCUGGGGAGUACGGUCGCAAGAUUAAAACUCAAAGGAAUUGACGGGGACCCGCACAAGUAGCGGAGCAUGUGGUUUAAUUCGAAGCAACGCGAAGAACCUUACCUACACUUGACAUCCCUUGCAUUACUCUUAAUCGAGGAAAUCCCUUCGGGGACAAGGUGACAGGUGGUGCAUGGUUGUCGUCAGCUCGUGUCGUGAGAUGUUGGGUUAAGUCCCGCAACGAGCGCAACCCUUGUCGUUAGUUACUACCAUUAAGUUGAGGACUCUAGCGAGACUGCCUGGGUUAACCAGGAGGAAGGUGGGGAUGACGUCAAAUCAUCAUGCCCCUUAUGUGUAGGGCUACACACGUGCUACAAUGGCUGGUACAGAGAGAUGCAAUACCGCGAGGUGGAGCCAAACUUAAAAACCAGUCUCAGUUCGGAUUGUAGGCUGAAACUCGCCUACAUGAAGCUGGAGUUACUAGUAAUCGCGAAUCAGAAUGUCGCGGUGAAUACGUUCCCGGGUCUUGUACACACCGCCCGUCACACCAUGAGAGUUGGCAAUACCCGAAGUCCGUGAGCUAACCGCAAGGAGGCAGCGGCCGAAGGUAGGGUCAGCGAUUGGGGUGAAGU